rnacentral:lncRNA from 1 species
GUAAAACCAAGGUCCCUCCAGAAGAUCACUAUUCCAGUCAUGAUAUGAGAUAUACUUUUGACUCCAACAAAGGAUCAUGCAAGGGUGGCCUCAAAUCUUGAUCCAAAUCACCCACUCGUUUGAUUCUAGAAAAUCCAGAUGUGUUAGCUCCUGGCUACAUGGUCCCAGGCAAGCACAAUUGAACUUGUCCCAUCACUGUAGUAGGGGCUGUCACACACAGCACAAAAAUGGCUAAGAAGUGUCUUGAACUUGUAAAUUCAUGUGCUACUAAAUUGUGAGACAUAAUCUAAAAGGAUUAUAUGAACUGUUUCAGACUUUGGGCAGCACCAGGGCAGCUCUCUGAUCACUGGCUUUGUCCCCUGCCAUGAUUCUAACCAGAUGGGACCUCCAAUGGAGAUGGACCAAGGCCAAAAUUCCACAGAGGUUGCAGAAUUGCCCCUUCCUUCAGCAAGGCAGGUUGAGGAACACCUCCCAUCCUCUCCAUCCAAACCACUACAUGAUCUUAAGCCAGGCAACUGGAUCAUGAUAAAGAAUCCCAGCAGCAGGCGAAGGAAACAUUGCCUCUGGGUGGGUCCACACCAGGUGCUGCAAACAUCUGACACGCACAUCAUGAUUGCUGAAGGAGCAACCUGGUUGGAUAGCAGCCAGUUUGAGAAGUUGUCUUAGUAUUAUGAGUGUUCUUUAACAAAUGUUCAAUAAUUUAAAUAAUAUUUAAUGUCUGUGACGGGUUCUGGGUGUGUCAGCAACAAUAAACACUUUCUGCUUGCUGUCCAGUUUCUAUCAGGCAUUGAUUCCUUAACCAAUCACAUUUCCAUCCUCUGAUUUGCUGGUCCAAGCAAAAUUGUUAGGUUUGUUAGGUUUUGGGUUUUUUCCAGGACCCAAAAGCAGGUAGAAUGCAGUGGUAAAAAGUCUAAGUUUUUAUUCAAAGAUCAAUUUGGCUCCUGGACCGCAGGGAGGCACUCAUCCGGUCUUCCGGGGCACACAAAGACCUCCAGCAUGGAGCCAACACAGGAGUCAGGUCCUGCACGUUCUACAGUCCAGCAGGGCAGCGUGGAGACCUCAAACGAGCAGGGAGAAACAGAUCAACAAGUUGCAAACAACCAAAGAAGAGGAAACAGGAGUCAGCUCUACCAUGGGAAACCACCAAAACUCUCCAACACUGGCAGACAGGCGCUCCGUCCUUAAAUAGGUGGCCUGAUGUAGAUUGCCGACAGGUGCGCCUGCCUGCAGUGCUAGCUGUGGGAAAUGAUCAGCUCCUCCACGCCCCCUGCAGGAAACACCAUACAACACACUUU